rnacentral:rRNA from 1 species
UACGUAGGACCCAAGCGUUGUCAGGAUUUACUGGGUGUAAAGGGAGCGCAGGCGGAUUUUCAAGUCGAUGGUGAAAUCUUGCGGCUCAACCGCAAAACAGCCGUUGAUACUGUUAAUCUUGAGUGUGGAAGAGAGUGGCGGAAUUCAUGGUGUAGCAGUGAAAUGCGUAGAUAUCAUGAAGAACACCGGUUGCGAAGGCGGCCACUUAGUCCUUUACUGACGCUCAUGCUCGAAAGCGUGGGGAUCAAACAGG